CAGUCAAUCUCUUCCAUAAAGCUGGAAAUAAUUCGGAAAUAUUUUAGCUUUUAAUACCCAGUGCGCAAAUCGUUUUGCCACAUGUACAUUUUCUCUUCUUUGGAAAAGAUCAAAAUGAACAAAUCAGCGUUUCUUCUUGUGCUUGUUCUUGGACUGCUUGUUCUCACCGAAACUACUAUUGCAGCUACACGCCGUCGAACCCACAUUUCGCGGGCUCGCAAACCAAAUCCUCGCCGCAGAUGGGUUUUGGGACAGCAAAAACAAUCAGAAUUUGAGGAAGAUGUGAAAACCUUGCUUAAUCACGAUUUAGAAAUAUCUGAAGAAUAAUCUGAAGAUGAUCGUCUCGGUUGAUUGAAUGAUUAACCCACACGUUUUAAGACGGAUCAAAAAUAAAAUCAAAACAUGGCAUAU